UCUUUUUAACUGGGGAAUGGUUUAGGCAGGAUAGUGUCCGAUGUUUGGUGGAGUAAGGACUACCAAUUGACGACAAUUGGCAGGACUCGCAUGGACUAUGGCAUCACAACAAUCCCGCCAAUCCCGCCAAUCGCGCCUUGUCCUUGGUAAAGCAGCAGCAACAGCUGCUCCCCUUCUCCAUCCACCAAAAUCUCAACGGACGUCGUCGCCGCCCAGCACGGAGGAAAUCGUUUAGGUUUACGAGUUGUCCUUGUUGGAGCUCGUAUUCAAUUCGAAGCCCAAAUUCAUCUGGUGCGUUUAGAAUAUAUCUCAGCCUCAGCCAGGUACAAGCAAGGCAACAUUACUUGGUCUAAGAAUGGAUACCAGGUACCAGUACUAGCAGACCACGACAUGACUGAGAUAAGAAUCAAUACCAGUGCGAAACAAACGUCUUCCUUGUCCAAUGUACAAUGUUUCUUUUCUUUAUUAGAAACAUAAUUUAGCUGUUCCUUUAGAUC